rnacentral:lncRNA from 1 species
AAAUUUCUAAUUAUCCCAGAAGCAGAGCCCAAACCAGAGCCUGGUGCACAAACUCUUCCCUCUGCUGAGCUCUUUGGAUGUGACUUUUAUGUAAGGCUAAACCAUCAUUAAUGCACCGUAUUUUUCCUAGGUUCUUAGGCUUAAAGUACAUGGCAGCUGAGAAGAAAAUCAGAACAUUCAGAGUAUCUGUUACUACUAUAAGAAAAUGAAAAAUUAGAUGCAAUUCCAUUGUGCGUCGCUUAGUUGAGUCAGCUGCACAUUGCUGUACCGUCAUGUGGAACAGAAACAUUUGAUUUUCUUCCUUUUUGAGUAGCAGCAGCAAAAAUAGGCAGAAAUGUGAGAUGUCAUCUCUUCCUGUUCAAGCACAGCAACUUUUGAAGCAGAACACACAGAAUGAAGAAGCUGUGAUUUUUUUUCACCAUCCACUGUGUUCCUGAGAGCAGGCAUGCAGCAAGCAGCGGAUAUAUACUGUGCAGAAUUCAAUUUCGUAAGCACACAGGUGAUUAGAUGGAAUGAAGAUGUAGGGAAUGUAACCUUACCAGAAUACCAGGAGAAGUGACAGAAUAUUUUUCUACAACAACAAAAGAAGGAGAAAAAACAUAAUCUGUGAUUUUGUACUUAUAUUCCCACAAUAAAAAACUUCAUGGGACUUCUUUCUCUCUUUUAUGAACAAAAAUAUCUCGCUAGGUCAAUGUGCUUCCUGUAAAAAUCAGAAAACUAUCUCACUAAAUAUCUGACCAUUAGAUAGAAAUAAUUGCACCAAUGUUAUUACAUUCAAUAUUACGUCAGGCAAUCUCUUCCUACAGAAUGGAAAGAAAAGUAUUAAAAUAACUGUAUUGUAAUUUUGCAAUGUUUUGGAGGAGUGAA